rnacentral:rRNA from 1 species
CCUACGGGGGGCAGCAGUGGGGAAUAUUGGACAAUGGGGGGAACCCAGAUCCAGCCAUGCCGCGUGUGUGAAGAAGGCCCUCGGGUUGUAAAGCACUUUCAGUGAGGAAGAACGCCUGGUGGUUAAUACCCAUCAGGAAAGACAUCACUCACAGAAGAAGCACCGGCUAACUCCGUGCCAGCAGCCGCGGUAAUACGGAGGGUGCGAGCGUUAAUCGGAAUUACUGGGCGUAAAGCGCGCGUAGGUGGCUUGAUAAGCCGGUUGUGAAAGCCCCGGGCUCAACCUGGGAACGGCAUCCGGAACUGUCAAGCUAGAGUGCAGGAGAGGAAGGUAGAAUUCCCGGUGUAGCGGUGAAAUGCGUAGAGAUCGGGAGGAAUACCAGUGGCGAAGGCGGCCUUCUGGACUGACACUGACACUGAGGUGCGAAAGCGUGGGUAGCAAACAGGAUUAGAUACCCGAGUAGUC